AGCAAUGAGUCCAGGAGCCAAGGCCGUUCAUUCACUUUAAACUCUUCCUUGAUCACUUCUUUUUUGGGGUUGGCCUGAUCUUCCUUUUCAAUCUGGUUUACAAAGAGAAAAAGAAAAACACAUGACACAGAUACUGCUGAAUAUAAAACCCAGGUGCUGAGACCAGCACGGAAGCCCACAGAUCCCAGGCAUCACCCUCAGCAAGUAUCUCUGCAAUCAGCCACUGUGGCAUCCUAGUUGUUGGAAUGAUGCCAGAGCCCUUCUCACUGUGCCAGACUGACUACAAGUGUAUUCAUAGGGCUCAUUCAGUCAAUAACAUCAGCCAGGCCCUGAGUGAGGCCCUGGGGGAAUGAGUGUAAGAUUCUCUGAUCCUGACUUAUGCACACUCCAUCCAGCAAGGAAGAUGGACAAGUAAGUGAACUGAUCAGCAAAGAUGUCCAAAUUAUAGCGGUGGAAGUAUCAAGGGAGCUUCCAGAAAGGGAGACCAUCUGCUCAGCAAGAGGUGUGAAGGCUCUUAAGUCACAGGGCUAUGCCAGUACCCCUUACCACUGACAAUAAUGAUGACUCUUUAGACUCUGCUUCCACAAAAUACCCCCACAUUAUUCACCCUGACAAACCCAAAACAGGAAAGUAACAGGUUACUAGUACACAAAAGUCAUGUCCUAUAUAAAAUGCUCUAGUCAUCAUGUUGUAGCACAGCUUUGAAAGGUUGAAAUUAUAAAGACUGCCCACAUAGCUGAAUAGAGGAAACAGAUAAUUCACAGCCAUGUAGGGUUUGAGAAGAAAGUGUCAUCAGUCUUUGGCCCACACAUGGACAACUCCCACAUGACUGUUCUUCAAGAUGUUAACUCCAAGACUGAGAUUGUCCCCAAAUGUGAACUGAAAUUGAAUCCACCUUGUAAAUCCAAUCCCUAGAGCUUUGGUAACCAUCUCUCAUAACCAUUAAGAUGAUAUCAGGCAAUUUUGAACAAUUACCACCAUAGUAAUUCUAAUAGUAUUUAGGACCUCUGUGAUUCUUUACAUCCAAAGAAUGCUCAUGCCAAUUCUCUGUUUUGAUAAUACAGUACAUCAGUCAAGAGGCCAUGAGGAAAGUUGAGCCAUAUUUUGAAAUGAGGAUAUAAAGAAAGCACAGGAAUAAACUAACAACCCAGCUCAAGCACCUUGUGUUAUUAGGCUUGGGCCUUCAGACUGUAAUCCCUUGUAAUAAGCCAGAGAGCCAAUUUGGCAAGAAUUUAAUCUUGUUAAAAAAAAAAGGCAUACAAAUUGAAAAGAAAAAUAUCAAACCGUCUCUAUUCAAAGACAGCAUAAUUUGCAAUAUAGAAAACCCUACAGUCUACCACAAAAAAUCUAGAAUAGGUAAGUUUAGCAAAAUCACAGGAUACAUGAUCAAUAUACAAAAUUCAGUUACAUUUUUAUAUACUAGCAAUGAACAAUUAGAAAUCAAAAUUGAAAAAGAAUGCUAUUUGUGAUAUCACCAAAAAGCAUAAAAUCUCAGGUAUAAACCAAACAAAAUAUGCGCAAGAUAUGUACAUAUUGUACUAGAAACUACAAAACAAAAAAAGACCUAAAUAAAUAGAGAGCUAUACCAUGUUCAUGAAUUCUCAGACUCAGUAUUGUUACAGUUCUCCCCAAUUUGAUCUAUAAGCUCAACACAAUUCCUUUCAAAAUUCUACCAUAAUAUAUUGUAGAACCUGACACACUGAAAAUUUAUAUGAAAAAGUAAAAAAACUAGAAUAAUUUUUUACCAGAACAAUUGUUUUAAAUGAAGAAUAAUG